AGGUGCUGAAUUCUCCUGACUGACUGCAGGCUGAAGAGGCUGUAUUUAUGGCUCAGUAUGACCAACUCGAGGACAAAGAUUCGCUGGAUAUUCAUGAUAACCCUCCAGCUCCAGACAAUGUUGUAAAGGAGGACGACAACACUGUUUACUUUGUGUAUGAUGAAGAGGUGGAGGAAG